CACGGGGCUUCCGUUCCCGAGUGCGUCGCCCGCUUUUGGGGCCCCCCUGGGCGCGCCGCUCGCGGCCCCGGCUGGUAUCCCUGGGGCUCCAGUGGGCAUGGUGGGUGCCUCAGUGGGCAUGGCUGGGGCACCGAUGGGUAUGCCGGGGGUCCCGGCCACCACAGCGGCCGCAGCGGACCCCUGGGCGCCGGCACGAGCCUCGUCCCCCUGGUCGCCCCCCGCCACUAGGCAUACUCCAAACCCCUUCCUAUCCUAGCCACAGAGAAGCUGUCAGUAGGCAGGGCCGCACCCGUGCUUGAACGUACCGCUCGGUACGAGACCGGUGGUAAAACAGACCCACGAGUUCGUGAAUACAAACAAUUACUAAAUUAAACCUCACAGCAAUAAGACAAAUAAUUAAUGUAUAAAUCGACCAAUUAACAUAAGCUCCGUGUUUAUGUGUAAUAAGAAACACCUCUACAAAAACAUUCGUCCUUCAAACCGCUCGUGUAGCCAUCGGUCGUUUAAUUAUAAUUAGAUCCUAUCUAAAUACUUCGAUCAAUUCAUUUACGUCAAUGGAUUACUAUUACACUAUACAUUGAACUGUCAAUAUUUUUGAAUCACACGAUAAAAUUAGUAAACGUCAACAUGACAGUUUUCUACAUAGUGUAGUCUCGUCUUUAUUUAGAAAAAAAUAUAUAUAUAUUGACAAGAUUGUUUAUCUGUAAUGUUUUUUUUUUUUUUUUUUUUUUUAUAAUUCUUGUGAAUGUAUUUAAAUUUAGAAUGGAAAAUAACGUGAAAACUAUUGUGGUGAUAGGUUUUAAAUUAAGAAUAUCAGGAUACAGUAUAUAAUAAACUAGACUGGGUACCGCUGUCGCGUAGACUGGACGUGUUCAGAAACGGUACAGAUUAAAAAUACUAAUUUCUUUAAAAAUAACAGCACGCUAAUAUUUUUCAUCUAUGUUUGUAAUUAAUUAAUAAACUUUAUAUUACAAUGAGGUGCUAAUGAGCAGAACAUACCUAAAAAAAUAAUAACAGUAUUAAUAUUUUAAAGGGAAUUUGUAAAACGGUUUCUGAACGCGAUUAUAGUAGCAUAGAAUAGUGUCAGUGGUCCGUUGUCAGUAUUCCAGCCAGGAUUAAUUAACACCAAUAGGAAUAAUUUAUUAUCUGUAGCCGUAAACGGUUUUGGAGGGAAUACUUUCAACGUACUGAAAAACGGUUGUUUAAGGAAUUAAUAUAGAAUUAUGUAAAAGGAACUUCGUGAUGUGGUUAUUAUGCUUAAAUUUAAAAAAGUGUUUUGUCCUUAUUAAAUCCUUUUCCUAGAUAGAGAAAGACCUAUGCCAAGCAGUGAGACGUAACAAAACAUUGUCUGUUAUAUCUGUUAAUAUGUCAUUUAGGACAGUUUUAUUAAUCAUUACUUUUAAAAAAUAUGUAUUGUAUCAUAUUUGUUACAAUACAAAAUCAAUUGUAUUUCAAUUUGUACUAUAUGUAGGUAUGUUGUAUUACGUUAGGUUGACUAAACCUAGAAUCGAUUUUUAAAAGUUUUUUUUAUCACUUUCCAAUACUUUUUAGUCAAAUUAAUAAAGCUUACUUUUUUGACAA